GCUCAACCGAGGAAGUGCUUCGAAAACUGGUAAACUUGAGUGCAGAAGAGGAAAGUGGAACUCCAUGUGUAGCGGUGGAAUGCGUAGAUAUAUGGAAGAACACCAGUGGCGAAGGCGGCUUUCUGGUCUGUAACUGACGCUGAGAUUCGAAAGCAUGGGUAGCAAACAGGAUUAGAUACCCUGGUAGUCCAUGCCGUAAACGAUGAGUGCUAAGUGUUGGAGGGUUUCCGCCCUUCAGUGCUGCAGCUAACGCAUUAAGCACUCCGCCUGGGGAGUACGAUCGCAAGAUUGAAACUCAAAGGAAUUGACGGGGGCCCGCACAAGCGGUGGAGCAUGUGGUUUAAUUCGAAGCAACGCGAAGAACCUUACCAGGUCUUGACAUACCAUGAAAAGCUAAGAGAUUAGUCUUUCCCUUCGGGGACAUGGAUACAGGUGGUGCAUGGUUGUCGUCAGCUCGUGUCGUGAGAUGUUGGGUUAAGUCCCGCAACGAGCGCAACCCUUAUUAUCAGUUGCCAGCAUUCAGUUGGGCACUCUAGUGAGACUGCCGGUGACAAACCGGAGGAAGGUGGGGACGACGUCAAAUCAUCGUGCCCCUUAUGACCUGGGCUACACACGUGCUACUAUGGUCGGUACAACG
rnacentral:rRNA from 1 species